rnacentral:rRNA from 1 species
CUUGCUUCUCUUGAGAGCGGCGGACGGGUGAGUAAUGCCUAGGAAUCUGCCUGGUAGUGGGGGAUAACGUCCGGAAACGGACGCUAAUACCGCAUACGUCCUACGGGAGAAAGCAGGGGACCUUCGGGCCUUGCGCUAUCAGAUGAGCCUAGGUCGGAUUAGCUAGUUGGUGGGGUAAUGGCUCACCAAGGCGACGAUCCGUAACUGGUCUGAGAGGAUGAUCAGUCACACUGGAACUGAGACACGGUCCAGACUCCUACGGGAGGCAGCAGUGGGGAAUAUUGGACAAUGGGCGAAAGCCUGAUCCAGCCAUGCCGCGUGUGUGAAGAAGGUCUUCGGAUUGUAAAGCACUUUAAGUUGGGAGGAAGGGCAGUAAAUUAAUACUUUGCUGUUUUGACGUUACCGACAGAAUAAGCACCGGCUAACUCUGUGCCAGCAGCCGCGGUAAUACAGAGGGUGCAAGCGUUAAUCGGAAUUACUGGGCGUAAAGCGCGCGUAGGUGGUUCGUUAAGUUGGAUGUGAAAUCCCCGGGCUCAACCUGGGAACUGCAUUCAAAACUGACGAGCUAGAGUAUGGUAGAGGGUGGUGGAAUUUCCUGUGUAGCGGUGAAAUGCGUAGAUAUAGGAAGGAACACCAGUGGCGAAAGCGACCACCUGGACUGAUACUGACACUGAGGUGCGAAAGCGUGGGGAGCAAACAGAUUAGAUACCCUGGUAGUCCACGCCGUAAACGAUGUCAACUAGCCGUUGGGAGCCUUGAGCUCUUAUGCGCAGCUACGCAUUAAGUUGACCGCCUGGGGAGU